rnacentral:rRNA from 1 species
AACGAACGCUGGCGGCAUGCCUAACACAUGCAAGUCGAACGAAGGCUUCGGCCUUAGUGGCGCACGGGUGAGUAACGCGUGGGAAACUGCCUAUUGGUGGGGAAUAACGACGGGAAACUGUCGCUAAUACCGCAUAAGCCCUUCGGGGGAAAGAUUUAUCGCCGAUAGAUGUGCCCGCGUCCGAUUAGCUAGUUGGUGAGGUAAUGGCUCACCAAGGCGACGAUCGGUAGCUGGUCUGAGAGGAUGAUCAGCCACACUGGGACUGAGACACGGCCCAGACUCCUACGGGAGGCAGCAGUGGGGAAUAUUGGACAAUGGGCGAAAGCCUGAUCCAGCAAUGCCGCGUGAGUGAUGAAGGCCUUAGGGUUGUAAAGCUCUUUCGGGUGGGACGAUGAUGACGGUACCACCAGAAGAAGCCCCGGCUAACUUCGUGCCAGCAGCCGCCGCAG